CCUGAGACCCCAGAGUGCCUGCCCUGGGUAAUAUAAGGCAAGCGCAAAUUCCACUACUACCAUUGCACCUGGUACUCUUUUGCAAGCACCACCUCCUGGCUGGUAGCCAGGCACAGCCCAUUAUGACACCUGAAGGCAGCAUUCAGGAAGGAGAAAACUUCUGUGUGCCCUCAGCUGUUGCCAUUGCCUGGAUCACCUUGGCUAACCAGGAGGUCUUGAGUCUGUCCAUGUGCCCAGUACAUUACUGCUACUGCUGGCAUCUGAGAAAGCCAACACUAAGGAAAUCUCAGAGUCUACGUUCACUCUUCUCCUACCCCCAUCAGAACUGGUGCUGGUACCCGCUGCUGAGAGACUAGAGGACAGUUCACAUCACUGGAUCCUUGGCAGAUAUUCUCCAGUACCGUCCUGGAGUGUGGGAGCCCCACUAGGCAGCUAAACCCAGAAGAGUAGCAAGAUUCACAGUAGUCUGGCCCUCUAGGUAAAGGGGAAGUGCCGCACAUUACGGAGGCACCGUGUGGGACAAAAGAAACCAGUCUGCAGGCCUUGAGUCCCUGAACUUUCCACUUGUGGGAAGUUUUUCUUCAGCAGAGGCACAGGAACAGUGCUGGGCUCAUAGGGGAAAGUCUACAUGGAACAUCAGUAUUCCUGCAGAUGAAAAGAGAUGCUUUUCGGACGUGAACAGCUGGAACAGCAGGGCACAUCACUUGGGAAUGAGAGAAGCUUCAUGAGACCUCUGCCAUUCCAGCCCCACAGGAGACAGCGAACCUGCUCACAAAUCCAGCACAUCACUACUAUCACAGCAUCUGAGAAAGCCAUCACACAAAGAUUCUCUAUAACUAAGGAACUCAUACAGAGUCUUCACACUGAAAGCACUGAGUCAAAGCUAGAUGUUACAAGACACAAUCUGUUUCUAAAAAAAUAAACCCCUGGAUUUUCUGAGGAAAUAUUUCAAUGAAAGUCGCUUUAUUUGGAACUUAACAUUUUACAAAUGAGGACACCGAAACCAAAAGAAGUUAAAAAACUUUUCCAAGUUUACACAGCUAGUAAUCGCCAGAGCUGAGAUUUAAAUCCAGUGAGUCUGCUUCCAGAAUCAUGUUCAGGCGAUACUUGUUACUGCUUCCCAAUAACAGAAAAUAAAGCAAUAUUAAAAAUAA